UAGUUUCUGCCAAAUAAUGUGUGGUAGAACGGCCUUGGCCAUCAUCCAUGAUUUUGGGGCCGUCCGCCAACACGGAGCACCUGCAUGUACCGGUCCUGUGCUAGACACUGGGGAAUCCACUCUGAUGAAAACGAAUCCCUGUCAUCGUAGGACUUCAAGCUGGAAAGGCACAUAAUUAAGCUGAUAAUUGUCAGCCAUUCCAGACUCUGGUUCCAUCGAUCAAAGAGCCGCUGUUGAGCACCUUUCGUGGAUAAAGAAACCCUUUGCUGGAGCUGGGAGGCGUAUGCAAAUGGGACGAAGGCCCCCGUUUAAAGCCUGGAAGAGGACAAGCAGGAGCCCCGCUGCCAAUGGGGUGCCUCCCAGUGACUGGAAGAGGCGGCCCCUCUGGGCGCACAGCCCCUCAGGCCGGGUGUGGAGGACGGGCUCUGACGCUGGCCCCGUUGGGACCGUGAGCCCUUCCUCCAGACUGACCUGGCUCCUGGCAGGUGACAACCGGUCUCAGAGAGCUGGGUCCACCAGCCUCCUGCCUGGCUGUGCUUGGCGGCUUUACACACAGGUCGUUUCACGUGGAUGAGCUGUUUCACAGUCGGGGCUCACUGAGAUCAGGGCUGCAGAAGCACGGUUGCAAGUCUCUCAUUUUUCUUAGUGAACACACACGGCGGCUGCAGUGGACAAAGCUUAGAACAACAAUGGGAAAUAAUGCAAGAGCUUUGAAUAAUUCAGAUGCCUUUCCCAAGCAAUUAGGUGGAAUCCAAGUGUCCACUCAACGCUUGAAAUCACAUUCUGGACAUUAGUUGUGACCAUCCUACCCGUUCCGUCUGCUGCUCCUUCUUCAUGGGAUGUGCCAUGCUCUCGCCUGCGUGCCCAGCUUGAGGGUCUCUAAAGCACUACAGUUUAUGUCCAAACAGCACAAAAUGCACACACUCAUACCAGCUGUGGAAGUCCCUCGCAUCGUAAGUGGCCCAGUUUGAGUACUGCUUUCUUUACAAAGCCUCUGAUGCCUGCGACCAACUGUGAUUUCUCUCCUCUUUUGUUUUAAUUUUUUGGGUGCAGAUAAUAUACUCUCUUAUAGUUUUGUAUGUUUUUUUCUUUUUUACUUCUC